AGAGUUUGAUCCUGGCUCAGAACGAACGCUGGCGGCGCGUUUUAAGCAUGCAAGUCGCACGGCAGGGGGCUUCGGCCCCCGAGAGUGGCGGACGGGUGAGUAACACGUGGACAAUCUGCCCCCCGGUCGGGGAUAGCCCGUGGAAACACGGGGUAAUACCGGAUGGAACCGGGAGCGCGCAAGCGCAUCCGAGGAAAGGCGCCAAGGCGCCGCCGGGGGAUGAGUCCGCGGUCCAUUAGCUUGUUGGCGGGGUAACGGCCCACCAAGGCGACGAUGGAUAGCCGGCCUGAGAGGGCGACCGGCCACAUUGGGACUGAGACACGGCCCAGACUCCUACGGGAGGCAGCAGCUAAGAAUCUUCCGCAAUGGACGAAAGUCUGACGGAGCGACGCCGCGUGAACGAUGAAGGCCGUGAGGUUGUAAAGUUCUUUUCCGGGGGGGGAAUAAGUGCCGCAGGGAAUGGCGGCGCGAUGACGUGAACCCGGGAAUAAGCCCCGGCUAACUACGUGCCAGCAGCCGCGGUAACACGUAGGGGGCGAGCGUUGUUCGGAAUCAUUGGGCGUAAAGGGUGCGCAGGCGGCCGACCGAGUCUGGUGUGAAAUACCCCGGCCCAACCGGGGGGGCGCGCUGGAAACUGGUCGGCUGGAGUGCAGGAGGGGGAGUCGGAAUUCCAGGUGUAGGGGUGAAAUCUGUAGAUAUCUGGAAGAACACCGGUGGCGAAGGCGGACUCCUGGCCAUGUACUGACGCUGAGGCACGAAGGCGUGGGGAGCAAACAGGUUUAGAUACCCUGGUAGUCCACGCAGUAAACGAUGCACACUAGGUGGUGGGCGGUAGCGCUCAGUACCGUAGCGAACGCGUUAAGUGUGCCGCCUGGGGAGUAUGCUCGCAAGGGUGAAACUCAAAGGAAUUGACGGGGGCCCG
rnacentral:rRNA from 1 species